UUAUUGUCAUCAUCAUCAUCAUUAUUACUAUUACUAUUACCACAGGCUUACCAUCCUGAGGUUGUGUGAAAUUGUGUAUAUAAUUGUACCGUUGCAGAACUGUCCUUGUGGUGAAAGUGUCUAACCAAUCAGAUAGGACUACAUGUGUCCAAUCAUAGACCUUGUUAGAAUGCCACACGUGUGACACUGGGAUCGAGUGGCAGAACAGUCUUCCCUCUUCUUCCCUGGGAUCGAGUUUGGUAUGGCAGAACGGUCGUUUGUUGAUAAUAUAACUGAUUUCUGAGGAAUCGAUAAAGCAGAGAAACACCCAAGAGAAAAGGAUUUAGCAAAAGCCAUGUUAUGUUCCCUUACUGGAGUCCGUCCUAAGACGGAGACAAGCCAUUUAGAGGCAGUGUCAAAUUUUGUUAUUCAAUGUCAAAGGUGCCAAGGUUAACAAAAUUGAACCGGAGAUUUUGUCAUCUUUAGCUCUAAGGCGGCACCAAGCAAAUAGUCCAGUUUUGAAUUUAACUGUGCCAUUGGAAUUAAGGACACAUAUAAAGACAGUGUGAGCCUAAGUUUCAGAUUAUUGGUUCACAAAUAACAUGGAGAUCAUGAAGAAUUCACAUGUUUUACAUUGUUUUAUUUCAAGCUCUAGGAGAUUUUCACUUGUAUGUUACACUUGACUUAUACUACCUUUGUCCAUCUAUUCAGCAGGCAUGAUGGAUUUCCAAAUUUGAUUACUGAAGCAACCUUCGUCACAUCAUAGCUUAUAAUGUUCUGCUGUAGUUAUGUAACUAUUUAUUUGCAUAAUCUUUCAAUAAAUCACAUGUUUCCUUGGUGA